UAGAAAAGCACUCAAGUGUUUUGUGAUAUUUUGAAGAGUAUUGUGAGCUAUUCUAACCCCCAAACCGAUCCCCACACUCUCUCAUUCACUCUCAUCUGAUUUUUGGAGACUCUCUCAAGUGUUCUCUCCAUUUUCAACCCCAAGAACACCAAAGAAACUUGGAAGCUAAGUCUUGGUCUAGGAAGGGUUUUCCCUAAGUUGGUUAGGGUUUUUGAAAGGUUUGAAGGAGUCAAAGCUUAUAGGAAGGUCCAAACCUUAAGCAAGAACACCAAAGAGUAUUGGCUAAGCGUAACUGGACUGAACGUUGGAGGGUGAAAACCUGCUGAGCGCUAAGGACUCCAAGUAAGUCAACUUAUAUUGUAU